GCUUGGUCCUCCUCUCCUCAGUCCUCACAUCCAAAAAGAGAUUCUUCUUCUUUUACUUCCAGCGAAGGAAAGCGUAUUCCUCGUGACCUCUCUUUCCCCUCACUGUUCUUCCUGGGGUUUAAAUCCCCAGCUACGCGAUCCACCUAGCUCGCCAGAGAUUGAGGAAGGCUUGUUCGCUGGAAAAUGACGUCAGACGGGGCCACUUCGACGUCAGCGGCUCCGAGGAGGAAGCCGUCCUGGCGAGAGCGAGAGAACAAUAGGAGGAGGGAGAGGAGGAGAAGAGCCAUAGCUGCUAAGAUUUUUACUGGGUUAAGGGCUCAAGGGAAUUACAAUUUACCUAAACACUGUGAUAAUAAUGAAGUCUU
rnacentral:misc_RNA from 1 species